AAGGAGGCACAAAUCCUAUACGCACAACACGCGGUCUCCUUGCCGAAAGGUACAAAAGUCUCAACGACUACUUUAAGCGCAAUAGCGCUCUCUUUUUGUCGCAAUGCCGACUACUAUGUCUUCUCUUAAUGGUCCCAACAUUUACCAAGUAUUUAUAUGCAAUUUUAGGAGGUGGACAAGGAGAAUAGUUUAUGGGCAUAUCCUAUGCUUAAAGCAUCUCUCACUUGAAUGGUGAGUUAAAAGGUGAGAAUUGAAAGGAUUCUCUAGUAAAUAUGUUAUCCAAUAUUUUAAAUGUUGUGGUCCUUGAGGGGGGAAACUACUCCCGUAUUAGUCCCCAAGUUUUAUUUUGGAUUCUAGUCCAUUGACCUUCCUCCAGUAUCUUUUAACACUCUAAUCCCUUCCCAAAUAAUUCUAGAGGCAAUCAUGGGGGCUUUGACUUAGUGAGCUCAUAACCAUAAGCCUCAGCUAUUCGAAUAGAUUAUACUUUGUGUAGAGGUGUACACUUUCCCCAUACGUCCAAUCAGCCCAUACCCUCACGAAAACGUGGUACUGACCUACGAGAUCCAUACCCGC
rnacentral:lncRNA from 1 species